GGGGGGGGGGGGGGGGGGGGGGGGGGGGGGCGGGGCGGGCGGGAGCGCGGGGGGGCGUGCGCGCUGGGGGGCGAGGGGCGGACGGGUGGGGGAUACGUCGGGAGCUGCCCAGUCGUGGGGGAUAACGUAGGGAAACUUACGCUAAUACCGCAUACGACCUUCGGGUGAACGAGGGGGAUCGCAAGACCUCUCGCGAUUGGAUGAGCCGAUGUCGGAUUAGCUAGUUGGCGGGGUAAUGGCCCACCAAGGCGACGAUCCGUAGCUGGUCUGAGAGGAUGAUCAGCCACACUGGAACUGAGACACGGUCCAGACUCCUACGGGAGGCAGCAGUGGGGAAUAUUGGACAAUGGGCGCAAGCCUGAUCCAGCCAUACCGCGUGGGUGGAGAAGGCCUUCGGGUUGUAAAGCCCUUUUGUUGGGAAAGAAAUCUUUCAGGCUAAUACCCUGGGAGGAUGACGGUACCCAAAGAAUAAGCACCGGCUAACUUCGUG
rnacentral:rRNA from 1 species